GGGAGGGAGGUGCGGGGAGAUCAGGCCGGUGCGCGGGGCUCAGGCAGCUGGGUCCCUGCCGUGGGCUGCCCGGCAGAGAGGAGGGCAGACAGGUGCUGCCUGGCGGCCUUUAAAAGGCCCGCACUGCAGCAGGUCAGUGUCUCGGCCUCAGUCGCGGGAGGGGGCGCAGCAGGAUGAACCAAUUGCUGUUUCAAAGGAGCUGGGCUGCAGCUUGAAGAUGGCUGUGUACCCGCCUGCCUCCCUGGGGGCUCCGAUUCCACGUGCCUAGCGCCUCCUUCAAGCCUCUGGGCUCGGCGAGGUUAGCUGGCUAUAGCCGGCAGCUUGCAGCUGCAUAGCAAAGUGGGGAUUGUUUCUGCAUGGUCAAUCCACUGUCUUGCACCAAAGGAGACAGGGUGGUUGGUACCGUGGGCUGCACUGUGGUGUUCCCUGAACCAGAUCACAUUGACACCAUGGGAUUGUAUGCUGGGAACAUAAACAAAUGAAAAUAUCACUGAACUGUCCGUCGUACUUUAUUAUGGACUCAUGGAAAUGGGACAUCUUACCAGCAUAUAAGGAUCAUAUGUAUUUAACAUGUUCCACUGGUCCCUGAGACUGAAAUUUACAACUAGCAGAUCGAGGCCUGUAACGAUUAAGGAGAGAAGAGGAGGACAAGAGUGAAUCUAGUUGGAGGUUAUAGAGCCCUUAUCCAAGCUGGAACUCUUUAGGAACUCUUCCUUAGUGGGUUCCACCAUUGAAAUGGUCUGUAAUGUGACAGUAGGUAGGGUGGAUUCCUAUCUGUGGAGUAAGGACCAUAAGCCUCUCCCUGGGUCUGAUCACUACCAACUCUC